UACGUAGGGGCCAAGCGUUGUCCGGAUUUAUUGGGCGUAAAGAGCUCGUAGGUGGUUCGGCAAGUCAGUUGUGAAAUCUCCGCGCUCAACGCGGAGGGGUCAGCUGAAACUGCUGUGACUUGAGUCUGGUAGGGGAGUGUGGAAUUCCCGGUGUAGCGGUGAAAUGCGCAGAUAUCGGGGAGGAACACCAGUGGCGAAGGCGGCACUCUGGGCCAGUACUGGACACUGAGGAGCGAAAGCGUGGGGAGCGAACAGGG
rnacentral:rRNA from 1 species